UAAAAAUAUGAAAGCUGAAAUAUCUUCACUGAAUAUUGAAAAAGAAAAAAUUGAAAAACUUCAUAUUGAAAAUGAAAAGAUAUUCAAUCAACAAAUACAAGAAUUAACAGAAAACUUCAAUUCAGAUAUAAAAAAUAUAAAAGAAGAAAAUGAAGAAAAUA